AUUUUCACAAGUGGUAGAAAAGGUCAGUCUUUAGUAGCUCACUAUAUUGGAGGAAUUUUCAAAUUCUCAUCAAAUUCUUCCUCCUAGGCUUCUUUUUGUACUCUAAGAAGGAAGCAAAAGGCGCUGGAGCUUAUACAGACAGGGAAAGUCAAGGAGUGCCCAGACAGUGUGAAAAACUAAAACUAAUAUGGCUAACAAGUCAUUUUAUGGCAGAUAAUAUGAGAGGUCUAUGACAGAGCAGCAGCAACUGAAGCGCAGCAUGUGUUCUUGUGUCUUCAACUUCUCACUGCUGUCCAUGAGGAGGUAAAUGACAAAGAGUUGAUUAUUUACAAACUUAUAAAUUUUGACACUGUCAUGACACUGCAAAGGAAAUUAUA
rnacentral:lncRNA from 1 species